rnacentral:rRNA from 1 species
GACCCCAGGUCAGGCGGGGCCACCCGCUGAGU